rnacentral:rRNA from 1 species
AUUGAACGCUGGCGGCAGGCCUAACUCCUGCAAGUCGAGCGGAGCGGCGGACGGGUGAGUCACGCCUAGGAAUCUGCCUGGUAGUGGGGGAUACGGUCCGGCAACGGGCGCUAAUACAGCAUACUAUCAUAUUAGCCUAGGUCGGAUUAGCUAGGUGGUGGGGUAACGGCCUAACAAGGCGACGUUCCGUAACUGGUCUGAGAGGAUGAUCAGUCACACUAGAACUGAGAGUCGGGCCAAACACCGACGUGAGGCAGAAGUGGGGAAGAUUGGACGAUGGGCGAAAGCCUGAUCCAGCCAUGCCGCGUGUGUGAAGAAGGUCUUCGGAUUGUAAAGCACUUUUAGUUGGGAGGCGUUACCAACAGAAUAAGCACCGGAUAACUUCGUGCCAGCCGCAGCGGUAAUUC